rnacentral:rRNA from 1 species
UCAAGCUACUAAGGGCAUACGGCGGAUGCCUAGGCGCCAUCAGCCGAUGAAGGACGCGGUAAGCUGCGAAAAGCUACGGGGAACUGCAAGCAAGUAUUGAUCCGUAGAUGUCCGAAUGGGGAAACCCACCUGCCGUCAUGGGCAGGUAUCCGAAAGGAAGGGAACCCGGGGAACUGAAACAUCUAAGUACCCGGAGGAAGAGAAAUCAAACGAGAUGCCCACAGUAGCGGCGAGCGAAGAGGGCAGAGGGCAAACCGGGGAGCUACGGCUCUCCGGGGUUGAGGACUGCAUUUAGUCUUAAUGGUUUAUCCGAACUACCUGGAAAGGUAGGCAACACAGUGUAAAAGCCACGUAGGUUAAAGACCAGAGAGAUGAGCAGUAUCCAGAGUACCACGAGGCACGAGGAAUCUUGUGGGAAGCCGGGGGGACCACCCUCCAACCCUAAACACUGAAUGGCGACCGAUAGCGCAUAGUACCGUGAGGGAAAGGUGAAAAGAACCCCGGGAGGGGAGUGAAAGAGAACCUGAAACCGUAUGUCUACAAGCAGUCGGAGCGAAAGCGACGGCGUGCCUAUUGAAGAAUGAACCAACGAGUUACGUGCACUAGCGAGGUUAAGUGGAAGACACGGAGCCGAAGCGAAAGCGAGUCUUAAGAGGGCGAAUAGUUAGUGUACGUAGACCCGAAACCGCAGUGAUCUACCCAUGUCCAGGUUGAAGCGCAGGUAAAAUUGCGUGGAGGACCGAACCUGUGAGCGUUGAAAAGCUUUAGGAUGAGAUGUGGGUAGAGGUGAAAUUCCAAUCGAACGCGGAGAUAGCUGGUUCUCCCCGAAAUAGCUUUAGGGCUAGCCUCAAGUAGUAAGUAUAGGCGGUAGAGCACUGAUCGGGCUAGGGGCCAUAAAGGUUACCGAACCCUGUCAAACUCCGAAUGGUUAUACUGUAGAGCUUGGGAGUCAGACUACGAGUGAUAAGAUCCGUGGUCAAAAGGGAAACAGCCCAGACCACCAGCUAAGGUCCCCAAUGUCGUACUAAGUGGAAAAGGAUGUGGGGUCUCUAAAACAACCAGGAUGUUGGCUUAGAAGCAGCCACCAUUUAAAGAGUGCGUAAUAGCUCACUGGUCGAGAGACCCUGCGCCGAAGAUUACCGGGGCUAAAGUACGAAACCGAAGCUGUGGCUACGACGUAAGUCGUGGGGUAGGGGAGCGUUCUGUGAGGGCUGAAGUCGUCCUGUAAGGAACGGUGGACUUCACAGAAGUGAGAAUGUUGGUAUGAGUAGCGAAAAGAAUGGUGAGAAUCCAUUCCACCGAAAGCAUAAGGAUUCCUGGGCAACGAUCGUCGUCCCAGGGUAAGUCGGGACCUAAUCCGAGGCAUGGAGCGUAGGAGAUGGACAACUGGCAGAUAUUCCAGUACCGGUAAUGAUUGUUUGAGCGAUGGAGUGACACAGGAGGGCAGGCAGGCAGGAGAUUGGUUGUUCCUGUACAAGCGUGUAGGAUGGGACGUAGGCAAAUCCGCGUCCUGUGAGUCUGAGGCGUGAUGUGGAGGUUCCGGAAACGGAGCUGAAGCUGCUGACCCCACACUGUCGAGAAAAGCUUCUAGUUAGAGAAUUACCGCCCGUACCGUAAACCGACACAGGUAUGCGGGGAGAGAAUCCUAAGGUGCGCGGGAGAACCCUCGUUAAGGAACUCGGCAAAAUGUACCCGUAACUUCGGGAUAAGGGUAGCCGCUGUUGUGAAGUCUGAACAGACGGAGCAUGAGGCGGUCGCAGAGAAGAGGCCCAAGCGACUGUUUACCACAAACACAGGUGCCUGCUAAAGAGAAAUCUGACGUAUAGGUGCUGACACCUGCCCAGUGCCGGAAGGUUAAGGAAGGAUGUCCGGAGCAAUCCAAAGCAUUCGACCGAAGCCCCGGUGAACGGCGGCCGUAACUAUAACGGUCCUAAGGUAGCGAAAUUCCUUGUCGGGUAAG